rnacentral:misc_RNA from 1 species
AAAUGCGAUAAUUAAUGUGAAUUGCAGAAUUCAGUGAAUCAUCGAGUCUUUGAACGCACAUUGCGCCCCCUGGUAUUCCGGGGGGCAUGCCUGUCCGAGCGUCAUUGCUGCCCUCAAUCACGGCUUGUGUGUUGGGCUUCCGUCCCUGGCAACGGGGACGGGCCCAAAAGGCAGUGGCGGCACCAUGUCUGGUCCUCGAGCGUAUGGGGCUUUGUCACCCGCUCCCGUAGGUCCAGCUGGCAGCUAGCCUCGCAACCAAUCUUUUUAACCAGGUUGACCUCGGAUCAGGUAGGGAUACCCGCUGAACUUAAGC